rnacentral:rRNA from 1 species
AUUGAACGCUGGCGGCAGGCCUAACACAUGCAAGUCGAACGGUAACAGGAAGCAGCUUGCUGCUUCGCUGACGAGUGGCGGACGGGUGAGUAAUGUCUGGGAAACUGCCUGAUGGAGGGGGAUAACUACUGGAAACGGUAGCUAAUACCGCAUAACGUCGCAAGACCAAAGAGGGGGACCUUAGGGCCUCUUGCCAUCGGAUGUGCCCAGAUGGGAUUAGCUAGUAGGUGGGGUAACGGCUCACCUAGGCGACGAUCCCUAGCUGGUCUGAGAGGAUGACCAGCCACACUGGAACUGAGACACGGUCCAGACUCCUACGGGCGGCAGCAGUGGGGAAUAUUGCACAAUGGGCGCAAGCCUGAUGCAGCCAUGCCGCGUGUAUGAAGAAGGCCUUCGGGUUGUAAAGUACUUUCAGCGGGGAGGAAGGGAGUAAAGUUAAUACCUUUGCUCAUUGACGUUACCCGCAGAAGAAGCACCGGCUAACUCCGUG